rnacentral:rRNA from 1 species
GAUGAGCGCUAGCGGCAGGCUUAACACAUGCAAGUCGAGGGGCAACACGGGUAGCAAUACCUGGUGGCGACCGGCGCAAGGGUGCGUAACGCGUGAGCAACAUGCCCUAUACAGGGGGAUAAUCCAGGGAAACUUGGUCUAAUAUCCCAUAGUAUUUAGAGGAGGCAUCUUCUAUAAAUUAAAGCUUCGGUGGUAUAGGAUUGGCUCGCGUGACAUUAGCUAGAUGGUGAGGUAACGGCUCACCAUGGCAAUGAUGUCUAGGGGUUCUGAGAGGAACGGCCCCCCACACUGGGACUGAGACACGGCCCAGACUCCUACGGGAGGCAGCAGUCGAGAAUAGUCUACAAUGGUCGGAAGACUGAUAGUGCGACGCCGCGUGAACGAUGAAUCCCUUCGGGGUUAAAGUUCUUUUAAUGUGAGCAGUGCUUCUUAUAUUAACAGUAUGGGGGAAGAGAUAUUAGCAUAUGAAUAAGCAAAC